rnacentral:rRNA from 1 species
GGGCCCGGGCGGCGUGCUAUACAUGCAGUCGAGCGGACAGAUGGGAGCUUGCUCCCUGAUGUUAGCGGCGGACGGGUGAGUAACACGUGGGUAACCUGCCUGUAAGACUGGGAUAACUCCGGGAAGACCGGAGCUAAUACCGGAUGCUUGAUUGAACCGCCAUGGUUCAAUUAUAAAAGGUGGCUUUUAGCUACCACUUACAGAUGAACCCGCGGCGCAUUAGCUAGUUGGUGAGGUAACGGCUCACCAAGGCAACGAUGCGUAGCCAACCUGAGAGGGUGAUCGGCCACACUGGGACUGAAACACGGCCCAAACUCCUACGGGAGGCAGCAGUAGGGAAUCUUCCGCAAUGGACGAAAGUCUGACGGAGCAACGCCCCGUGAGUGAUGAAGGUUUUCGGAUCGUAAAACUCUGUUGUUAGGGAAAAACAAGUACCGUUCGAAUAGGGCGGUACCUUGACGGUACCUAACCAAAAAGCCACGGCUAACUACGUGCCAGCAGCCGCGGUAAUACGUAGGUGGCAAGCGUUGUCCGGAAUUAUUGGGCGUAAAGCGCGCGCAGGCGGUUUCUUAAGUCUGAUGUGAAAGCCCCCGGCUCAACCGGGGAGGGUCAUUGGAAACUGGGGAACUUGAGUGCAAAAAAGGAGAGUGGAAUUCCACGUGUACCGGUGAAAUGCGUAGAGAUGUGGAGGAACACCAGUGGCGAAGGCGACUCUCUGGUCUGUAACUGACGCUAAGGCGCGAAAGCGUGGGGAGCGAACAGGAUUAGAUACCCUGGUAGUCCACGCCGUAAACGAUGAGUGCUAAGUGUUAGAGGGUUUCCGCCCUUUAGUGCUGCAGCAAACGCAUUAAGCACUCCGCCUGGGGAGUACGGUCGCAAGACUGAAACUCAAAGGAAUUGACGGGGGCGCCGCACAACCGGUGGGAGCAGGUGGUUUAAUUCAAAGCGAACGCGAAAAACCUUACCCAGGUCUUGACAUCCUCUGACAACCCUAGAGAUAGGGCUUCCCCUUCGGGGGCAGAGUGACAGGUGGUGCAUGGUUGUCGUCAGCUCGUGUCGUGAGAUGUUGGGUUAAGUCCCGCAACGAGCGCAACCCUUGAUCUUAGUUGCCAGCAUUCAGUUGGGCACUCUAAGGUGACUGCCGGUGACAAACCGGAGGAAGGUGGGGAUGACGUCAAAUCAUCAUGCCCCUUAUGACCUGGGCUACACACGUGCUACAAUGGGCAGAACAAAGGGCAGCGAAGCCGCGAGGCUAAGCCAAUCCCACAAAUCUGUUCUCAGUUCGGAUCGCAGUCUGCAACUCGACUGCGUGAAGCUGGAAUCGCUAGUAAUCGCCGAUCGGUCCCU